AGUGCCAGAAAGGGGGUAGCCCUGAACCUGACCCGCCUCCGGGGCUCGGGAAUCGCGUCCCUCAGGGCAGGCGGGAAAACAGAAUCACAGAACCAACCAGGUAAAUCAAAACUAAUUUGGUUGAUGACAGGUUUUGCACCAUUCUGUGAAUCAGACCAGUUAGAACUCGUUAAGAGUAGCAGAACUUGCCUAAGAAGAAUUUAGGCUAAGAUUCAAGGCAAAGAAAUUAGAAAGAAGGAUAAUUAGAAAAGCCAGAUGAUAAUUAGGACACAGAUAAGAUCUAACAACCAGCUAAAUGUAUUAACAUUAACCCACGCUAAUGAAGCAAGAAACAAGUCAUGGGCAGGAAUGAGGAGCAUAUGUGAUGUGGCCCUAAAAUGUGCAGGAAUAUGAGGAAGAACCCAGAUGUGGAAGUUAAAGCAAAGAAGCAUUAAGUUAUUUGUUCCAAGUCAUCCAACUAAGCAGUGGCAGACAAAAAAUAGAAGUGAGUCCUUCAGGGCUCAUUCUGUUGCAUCACUCUAUCUUCCUGUUUUGAUAAAAACAUCUGAAAAAUAAUUUUCAUAGAUCAUAGAUGUCCUACAAGCUGUUUGAGAGACAGCCUGAACAAAACCAGGAGACGCUGUGAGGAACUUGUGCUGUCUGCCUGUGGCUUGGGCCUUGCAACUCAGUGGUAGAUCUGCUUUGUGACUUGAGCAAGUCCCACAAUUGGUGUGCAGUGUUUUUACCUGUGUAUGAUUUUGAACUUGGUACAGAAUAAACAUGGUCUCAGCAGGGUGUGAAGAGCUCUAACACAGCCCUUGCAUUAAAACUGCUCCUGUCUGACAC